GUGCCAGCAGCCGCGGUAAGACGAAGAUGGCAAGCGUUGAUCGGAAUUACUGGGCGUGAAGCGCACGUAGGCGGUUGAGUAAGUUGGUGGUGGAAGCCUGUAGCUUAACUACAGAAUUGCCUCCAAAACUGCUCGGCUAGAGGGCGACAGGAGAGAGUGGAACUCUUGGUGGAGCGGUGAAAUGCGUUGAUAUCAAGAGGAACGCCAGCGGCGAAAGCGACUCUCUAUGUCGUUCCUGACGCUCAGUGUGCGAAAGCUAGGGUAGCGAACGGGAUUAGAUACCCCGGUAGUCCUAGCCGUAAACGAUGGGCACUUGGCAUUGGGGUAUUUACCUCAGUGCCGGAGCUAACGUGUUAAGUGCCCCGCCUGGGUAGUACGACCGCAAGGUUAAAACUCAAAGUAAUUGACGGGGGCUCGCACAAGCGGUGGAGCACGUGCCUUAAUUCGAGGCAACGCGAGGAACCUUACCAGGGUUUGACAUGCAAGUAGUACAUCCCCGAAAGGGGUUUGGAUCCGCUUUCGCGGAACCUUGCACAGGUGUUGCAUGGCUGUCGUCCGUUCGUAUCGUGAGAUGUCGGGUUAAGUCCCGUAACGAGCGAAACCCUUGUCCUUAGUUGCCACCAGGUAAUGCUGGGGACUCUAGGGAGACUGCCGGUGUUAAAACCGAAGAAGGUGGGGA
rnacentral:rRNA from 1 species